rnacentral:rRNA from 1 species
GCACCUUCCGAUACGGCUACCUUGUUACGACUUCACCCCAGUCAUGAAUCCCACCGUGGUAAUCGCCCCCCUUGCGGUUAGGCUAACUACUUCUGGUGAAACCCACUCCCAUGGUGUGACGGGCGGUGUGUACAAGACCCGGGAACGUAUUCACCGCGACAUGCUGAUCCGCGAUUACUAGCGAUUCCGACUUCAUGCAGUCGAGUUGCAGACUGCAAUCCGGACUACGAUCGGGUUUAUGAGAUUAGCUCCCCCUCGCGGGUUGGCAACCCUCUGUCCCGACCAUUGUAUGACGUGUGAAGCCCUACCCAUAAGGGCCAUGAGGACUUGACGUCAUCCCCACCUUCCUCCGGUUUGUCACCGGCAGUCUCAUUAGAGUGCCCUUUCGUAGCAACUAAUGACAAGGGUUGCGCUCGUUGCGGGACUUAACCCAACAUCUCACGACACGAGCUGACGACAGCCAUGCAGCACCUGUGUUCCGGUUCUCUUGCGAGCACUCCCAAAUCUCUUCGGGAUUCCAGACAUGUCAAGGGUAGGUAAGGUUUUUCGCGUUGCAUCGAAUUAAUCCACAUCAUCCACCGCUUGUGCGGGUCCCCGUCAAUUCCUUUGAGUUUUAAUCUUGCGACCGUACUCCCCAGCGGUCAACUUCACGCGUUAGCUGCGCUACUAAGG